AUGUUUACCUACGACAGAAGUUUGGUGAGGCACGCGGAGGCUAGAGCACCACGGUGGUUGUGUUGGCAUGCAGAUGGAGAGCAGAGCUGCUACGACGCGGCGGUUAGGAUGCAAGGACGGUUGGUCGGAGAUCACAGUGAUUGGAAGCUUCGUACGAUUCAGAGCAGAAAGACUGUGUCAUAUGAAGGUUAUGGUUUGUUGUUGUUUGUUCUGGAUCGAUCUUCUACAGGUCUUGUUGCAACUUUAGUUAAGGUUUUGAAACUGUUUUUGUGUUUUGAAUAUAAGGCUGCCAUGAACUGGUUUUAA